GGAAAGGUGACUGAGUGGCUUAAGGUGCUGGACUGCUAAUCCGGUGUACUGCUUACGUGGUACCGAGGGUUCGAAUCCCUCCCUUUCCGCCA
rnacentral:tRNA from 2 species